rnacentral:tRNA from 1 species
AUUCUUAUAGUUUAAUAAAAACUUUUUAUUUUCAUUAAAAGGAUGGAUAAUUUUUAACCUAUGAAUA